rnacentral:tRNA from 1 species
GGCCCGUUGGUGAAGGGGUCUAACACACAAGGUUCUCAACCUUGGAUUCAUGGGUUCGAAACCCAUACUGGUCACCA